AAACAGCUCACAAUAUAGUUGUGAUCAUGUACCCCACUCAAUUCUAUGCUUAGUAACUACAAAAUGUCUGCAUCCCAUCUAGGCUUCUCUGUUCCAACAAUGACAUGUGAAAUGCUGCCACCACCCAGACCUCUGGGGAAUCAUACAAGAAAUAUUUUUCUCCCCAUGGACCCCACUUCUGAGGACUCAACAAGAAUAUGUGCUGGACGGGAUAAGGACUACUUUAUUGAAGCAAUCUGUGUGUGACUAGGUAGCAAGGAACACUAUGUGCUUAAGCAAAAACCAAUCCCCAAACUCAUUUUUCCAUAAACAGAACUGGGCAACAGAGACAUAACUCUGUUUAAUGCUGUCUGGAUGACUUCAUUUUCUAAAUAUUCCAAAGCUCACCAGAGAUCAUGUGAUU
rnacentral:lncRNA from 1 species